rnacentral:rRNA from 1 species
GUUGCAGUUAAAAGCUCGUAGUUGAACCUUGGGCCUGGCUGGCCGGUCCGCCUCACCGCGUGCACUGGUCCGGCCGGGCCUUUCCCUCUGGGGAGCCGCAUGCCCUUCACUGGGUGUGUCGGGGAACCAGGACUUUUACUGUGAAAAAAUUAGAGUGUUCAAAGCAGGCCUAUGCUCGAAUACAUUAGCAUGGAAUAAUAGAAUAGGACGUGCGGUUCUAUUUUGUUGGUUUCUAGGACCGCCGUAAUGAUUAAUAGGGACAGUCGGGGGCAUCAGUAUUCAAUUGUCAGAGGUGAAAUUCUUGGAUUUAUUGAAGACUAACUACUGCGAAAGCAUUUGCCAAGGAUGUUUUCAUUAAUCAGGAACGAAAGUUAGGGGAUCGAAGACGAUCAGAUACCGUCGUAGUCUUAACCAUAAACUAUGCCGACUAGGGAUCGGGCGGUGUUAUUUUUUGACCCGCUCGGCACCUUACACGAAAGUAAAGUUUUUGGGUUCUGGGGGGAGUAUGGUCGCAAGGCUGAAACUUAAAGAAAUUGACGGAAGGGCACCACCAGGGGUGGAGCCUGCGGCUUAAUUUGACUCAACACGGGGAAACUCACCAGGUCCAGACACAAUUAGGAUUGACAGAUUGAGAGCUCUUUCUUGAUUUUGUGGGGUGGUGGUGCAUGGCCGUUCUUAGUUGGUGGAGUGAUUUGUCUGCUUAAUUGCGAUAACGAACGAGACCUUAACCUGCUAAAUAGCCCGUAUUGCUUUGGCAGUACGCCCGGCUUCUUAGAGGGACUAUCGGCUCAGCCGAUGGAAGUUUGAGGCAUAACAGGUCUGUGAUGCCCUUAGAUGUCUGGGCGCACGCGCGCUACACUGAC